AAUAGAUACCCUGGUAGUCCACGCCGUAAACGAUGGACACUAGCUGUGGGGCCCUCGGGCUCCGUGGCCAAGCGAAAGUGAUAAGUGUCCCACCUGGGGAGUACGGCCGCAAGGCUGAAACUCAAAGGAAUUGACGGGGGCCCGCACAAGCGGUGGAGCAUGUGGUUUAAUUCGAUGAUACGCGAGGAACCUUACCAGGGCUUGAACGCAUUGCGACGGGGGCGGAGACGCCCUUUCCUUCGGGCGCUCUGCGAGGUGCUGCAUGGUUGUCGUCAGCUCGUGCCGUGAGGUGUCAGGUUAAGUCCUAUAACGAGCGCAACCCCUACCGUUAGUUGCCAUCGGGUAAAGCCGGGGACUCUAGCGGGACUGCCGGUGCAAACCGCGAGGAAGGCGGGGACGACGUCAAAUCAUCACGGCCCUUACGCCCUGGGCCACACACGUGCUACAAUGGCCGGCACAACGGGCUGCCACGCCGCAAGGCGGAGCGAAUCCACAAAGCCGGUCACAGUUCGGAUCGGGGUCUGCAACCCGACCCCGUGAAG
rnacentral:rRNA from 1 species